GUGAAUCAUCAAAUUUUUGAACGCAAAUUGCACUUUCCUCGGAGAGUAUGUCUGUUUGAGGGUAAGCCUAUAAAAAAUCUACAUCGUUGCUGUUUCUCGGUGGCGUUCGUCGGUUAUUGGGUCAUCUUAAUUCCUUUUGAUUUAAGCGACUUAAAAUUUUCUUUUUUUUCCAUUAACGUUUCUAUGAUCUAUUUCUUUACACGUUUAAGGAAUCGAUUUUUACUAGACGUGACCAUCAUAUCUGAUCUCGUCGAU
rnacentral:misc_RNA from 1 species